UGCUCCUAUCCUAGAAAGGUUAGUGAAAAGAAUACCCGAAGGAAUAUUUUUACAAUUAUCCUUAUAUGCUCAAUACACAAGGUAAUGUUGUAAAUUUAAAAGCUCAUGUUACGAUCUGAUCAGUGCUUAUUUUAGGACACUAAGCUUGUCCUUGGGAAACCAUCAAAUUAUGUCGGCGAAGUGGUUUCCCUUCCAACGCUGACCUAUAUGAAGAUUAACUCAACGAGAUCUGCAAUAUUUAUUAUAGACAUAUGCAUCGACAACCACCAUUUUAAAGUUUUUAUAAAUAGAAAGGAAGAGGGGGUUGGAGAUCUUGAAUGUGGUGAUGUUGGAGAGACCAAU
rnacentral:lncRNA from 1 species